CUCGAACAUUAAAAACACACCAACUCAUCCACACUGGAGAGAGACCAUUCAGCUGUGACGAGUGUGGAAAGUCUUUUACGCACAUUUCAAACUUAAAAUCACACCAACUGAUCCACAGUGGAGUUAAAGCGUACACCUGUGAUCAGUGUGGCAGAGCUUUUACUCACAGUAACAGCUUACAGAGUCAUCUAGUUACCCACUCUGGAAUUAAGGCGUACAGCUGUGACAUUUGUGGAAAAACUUUCAGCCGGAUAGGGAGCCGAAAUACACACCUACGCAUUCACACCAGACAUGAUGUGUACAGCUGUGAUCAGUGUGGUAAACAGUUUACCACAAAGACAGAGUUACAACGUCACAUGUUUACCCACACUGAGGAACGACCUUAUAAAUGUGACCUGUGUGAGAAGACUUUUAAAUCUCCACGUUACCUGAAAGCACACCAACAGAUCCACACCAGAAAGACUCUACAAGUGCAGUUACUGUGAGAAGCAGAGCGACACAAAUGGAUCAAGUUCUCAACCCUGUCAUCGCUGUGGGAAAGACUUUUGUUGUGACCUUUGUGGAAAAACUUUAAGUCAUUGAAGGACUCUGAAAAUACAUCAACGUAGACACACUGGAGACAAAAUGAACUACUGUAAAGAAUGCGGGAGAGGCUUCACCACUUCAAAGGACUUCAAACAAUAUGAACUCCUUCACAGUGGCGUUAAAAAGCAUGUCUGCGAUCAGUGUGGGUCAUCCUUCAUCAGUGCACGUCAGCUUGAAAAGCAUAAACGAGUCCACACAUGAGAGAAA